AACGAACGCUGGCGGCAUGCCUAACACAUGCGAGUCGAACGAUGCCUUCGGGCAUAGUGGCGCACGGGUGCGUAACGCGUGGGAAUCUGCCUUUCGGUUCGGAAUAACUCAGGGAAACUUGAGCUAAUACCGGAUAACGUCGCAAGGCCAAAGAUUUAUCACCGAAAGAUGAGCCCGCGUAGGAUUAGCUAGUUGGUGAGGUAAAGGCUCACCAAGGCGACGAUCCUUAGCUGGUCUGAGAGGAUGAUCAGCCACACUGGGACUGAGACACGGCCCAGACUCCUACGGGAGGCAGCAGUGGGGAAUAUUGGACAAUGGGCGAAAGCCUGAUCCAGCAAUGCCGCGUGAGUGAUGAAGGCCUUAGGGUUGUAAAGCUCUUUUACCCGGGAAGAUAAUGACGGUACCGGGAGAAUAAGCCCCGGCUAACUCCGUG
rnacentral:rRNA from 1 species